rfam:Nematocida parisii ERTm3 unplaced genomic scaffold supercont1.4, whole genome shotgun sequence.
GCUCCUUUAGUAUAGUGGUUAUUAUGGCACGUUGUGGCCGUGCAGACCUGAGUUCGAUUCUCGGAGGGAGCA